rnacentral:misc_RNA from 1 species
CUAGAAUAUAAAUGCAUGGAACACCAAAAAAUGCCAUUGAAUAAGAAACAACGACACAAUUGGCUAUUACAACACAUUAUGCUGGGAAACAAUUCUCUGGAAAACGUUUCAAUGGGUCAAUUACCACUCAUCCUGCAUCACAGGGAGCAAAAACUAGUAUUGUCAUUUGUGAACCUAGCAUUUGCUAUUAUCCUCUCUAGAUUGAUCUAACUCAGAUAUAAGGUUCUCGUAUUGCUGUGGGCAGCUCCAGCUCCGGUUCAAGCUCACCAAGAGGGGAGAAAUGGCAAUCUACCAUGUCUUCACUUACUUCACCUAAACUUGGAGGGUUCCACUUUGGAGCAAAAUCCUUAUCCAAUAAUCGCGCCCGAAUACCCUCAAACAAGUCAGUAGAGACUGUUUUGGAGAUUCCAGUGAGGGAUACUCGAUAUUCAUGAGCUAAACAUUGAUCCAGCGAUUGAAAUCUACCUUCUCGUAUCUAUUGCAACAUAGAAACUUCACACAAGAUUCCAACUAUCACAAUUGAGAAUAACAUAGAUGAAACACAGCAUUAACUUACGGAUCGCAAGGCAACUUUUAAGCUUAGCGGGGAGGCUUCUUUCAUUUUUCUGAGUGCUUCUUUACACCAGUUCUCAUAAGAACUAGAUGCCUCAUUUUCCAGUGCAUCAAUAAUUUCCUCUACUGUAUCAUGACUAAAACAUUUAUCAAUUGUCUCAAUCUUAUGAAGGACGCUCGUCUUAUCUGGAUAGACAAGAUCACCAUACUGCGCAAGAGAAGUCUCUAUUACAGUACGAUCAUCUGUGAUUAAUCUACCAAGGCGUUCCUCAAUUAAAGCAAGUCUCGCAUUUAAUGAGUAGUGGGUAGCGAGGCCACAAGCAAUCAUUUCCACACCAUUAAGCUUAUCUCCUGUUAGGGCUAAGUAUUCCCCCAUGUAACCAGGUAGGUGAGAAAGAUAAUAAGAAGCGCCUGCAUCAGGAUGGAAACCCAUUUGAGUCUCAGGUUGAGCAAAGAUCUGCAAAAUUCAUACAUAAUAGUAAGCUGUAUCUUUGAGUACACCGUUAUGAAAAAUUUGCAGUGCGGUUUUCACCAAUACAAUACAGCAAAAGUAGAACUUAAAACUGUCCAAUACUGCAGUUAACAAACAUUUGACUAAUAAAUGCUAUUUUAUAAGAUGAUAGGUUUUGAUUAUUAAAACAAGGAUACAAAAUCAAACACAAUUCAGUAAAACUGCCAAUAUUAGGGAGUAGCACCCGUAACAUACAGUUUUGUCAGUUACAACAGAAAACAUUCCUGGAAGUGAAAUUCCAGCCCCACAUCCCAUUGUGAUGCCAUCCAAGAUAGCCACAUGUGGCUUCAAAUAUGUUCCUUGUAGGUAGGCAAACUUAUAUAAUGUCUGAAAAAAGCUUUUGCACUCUUCAACUCUCCCUGCAUUAACUAGUUCACUGAGCCAAAUCAUAUCUCCACCUGAACAGAAAGCCCUGCCACUACCCUUCAUGAAGACAAAUCCAAUAUCUGGGUUUUCUUCCCAUGAUUCAUACAGUCUCUUGAGCCGAGCCACCAUGGGACCAGUAAGAGCGUUGAGAGAAUAUGGUCUGUUGAGAAUGGCUGCUCUUGAUUUCGCUCUUCCUUCAACCAAAACCUGGUCCUGGAGAUUAUCAUUUUGGGCGUAGUCUGGGAAAGCAGAAAAGCCUCUCUGUGUAGAGAGAAACCCAGCACUGGAGUUGAAUGAAUACCUUAAUUUUAUUAAUUCUGUCAAUCUCUGCAUCUCUCUCUGUUUAGUGUUUGCUCUUCAAUGGAUGCUCUCUAAGCACGGAAAGAAGAAGAAGAGGAAGAAGAA